AUAGAGGAAGUGUGCCAUCUGUAAUUCAAGACUGUCUUUCCUGCCCUCCUCAGUGCCUCCUUCACUGAUAUGAAGUUAAAACAAGUGUGCCAAAUAAGUCAUUAACAGGGAAGAAUGGUGAACCCUUGUGUAACAUCAUAUUACAUGAGACAAAUCAGCCACCUGGGAAUAAGUGAACCCAUUUCAUUAUGUAAGUAGAAAUUUUUAAGCUAAAACUGACUUAUGUUCUGAAAAUAGAUGAAGCUACUGAAUAAAUCUAUUGAAUACCAUAAAAUAUUCAAUAAAUAACUACAUGAGAAUAAUUCAUAUUAUCCCCACAAAUUUAAUGAGCAUUAUUGUAUGAGUCUAAGCCAUCUGUUUAUUUUAUGUCAGAUAAAGUUCUAAGAACUAGAGUAAAUGCAAAUUGAAAGUUUCUCAAAGCAUUAAAAAGUACUUGCUGAGAACUUUCCUUUUAUUAUUCUUAACAAAGGUGAGUAUCUGUAAUGUCAGAAUAGUGUGGGUUAUGCUGCCAUAAAACACAACUUCAAAUCUCAGUGCCUUAAAAGAAUAAAGGUUGAUUUCUUACCCGUGUUCCUUAACAAUUGCACAUUGCCAGGUACUUAUCAUGCAUUCUCAGGUAUACUGGCUAAUUGGACAGCCAACAUAAUGAGUAUUGCCUUUUCUAGCAGAGGGAAAAGACUGCUCUGGAGAGUCUCACUAUAGCCCAGAAGUGACAUACUUCAGUUUUACUCACACCUCAUUUGCCAGACUAGUUACAUGGUCCAAAACAACCAUAAAUAAUCAAGAAGUGAAAUCCUGUGAUGAAUUUGGAGUACGGAGGACUGAAACUAUGUUGCUGACUCCAAAAUACCUAUCCAGGAGUUAUGUCAAGCUUUUCUCAAGACAUUAAUAUUCUGGGAUGAUAUUUGAUAGUUAGCUUUUAAUUUUAAGAACUGACAAAUUGCUUUAUAUUCUUCUAAGGAUUUUCUUGGAGCUAUGCUGCCUUUGCUUAAUGUUCCAUUUUGUUUUACCAUUUUCUUCAUUUUCCUUUUCUUCCUUUGUCUUGGGCAGGCAUUCCAAGAAUAAAAAUUCAGAUUGAGAGCAAAGGUUGACAUAGGCUGACGAUUCAGAGUGAAAGUACAGGCAAGGGAAGUGUUUUCAUCGGGAAAAGGUCGAAGGCUUAAAGAUGAUUCGGCAAUGUACUUUGUUGGAUGAUGAAGAGCAUUACAUAAAAUUUAAUUCUAUUAUAACUAUCUUGAAGUACUUAAAGAAUAAUGAAUUAGAAGAUGUGGUAAUAGAGUGACUGUGGAGGAAAAUGUGGCCUCCAGUAUCCACUUAGUAAUAGUUCAAAGAUGUGGAUAUUAAAACCUGGUUUCAUAGGUUGCAUUAAGAAAUGCUACCCAGGCCACCUCACUUAUUUCAAAGGGUUAUGGAUCUCUUUGCUUCCAUCUGACAUCCAGAUGGACAGGAUGAGGUGGAAAAUGAUGAUUAUUUUAUAGUCUGCCUCCUGGGUUGUAGGGGUGGAGAUGGAGUCUUAUGAAAUAAAAUCCUGUCAUAGAUGCUGGAAUGCCUAGAUAUCAUAAAUCAGGUGGACUAGUGGCAUUUUACCAAAAUAUAACUUCAUUAAUAAUAACUUCCUAAUAAAAUUAUUGUUUAAAAAAGUCCUCAACUUAAUCCAGACUUAACUGUUACUUAUCAAGGAUUUGUUAUGUGCAUAGCACAAUGAUCAUACACAUUUUAGCUUGAGCUAAAGUUCUCUAGAAACUUUAUCAAAUCUAAGAAUUUCAUAGAAAUUCUAUAAUUGUGAUCAACAUAUUGGGGAAUUGCAUUUACUGAAUAAGUUUGUCAAAGAUAAAGAUGAGAUGUAUGCUUUCUCUACCAAGAAAAGAACAAUAGGGAUUUAAAAGAGAAAUGAAAAGCUAUACAUGGGAUAGGUUUGAAGUAAAUGUUAUAACUUACCCAAGAGAUCUUAAAAGCAGUAGAUUCCCAACUGCUAAAAUAGGUUAUUUUCCUUUAAAUAUGUACACCAAAUGGAAUCUUGAAGCCUAAACCCUCACAUGACUCAGUCAUAAGGUUUUGGACUUACGUAGUCUUAUCUGAGGAACUCAGAGUGCAUCCGCUUCAUUAAUGCUUGCUCACAAUAUUCUUAAGAACCACGAAGGGGGAAAUCAAAUUAUCAAUUCAAAGACAGAGAAACAGACCAGAGGAAUCAGUGACAUGCCCAAGAUAAAAAACAAAAACGAAACCAAAAACAACCCACCACCUAAACUGGAAAUAGAAGUAAAUUCUGUCUUCCCAGCAAUCUUGCCCUAUCCCACAUUGUCUAUACAGUUCCCAAGUGACUCACUCUGUUGAUAAACUGAAAUAUGCUGAACUCUAUAUAAUUAUGCUACCUAAGCACAAUUUAAUGAGUGUGUAAUAAAGCCCUUCCAGAGAUAUGAGGGAGGAAUCGUUAUUAUUUUUAGCAAAUUACCAAGCAGCAACUCAAAAAGAAUCUAACUCUAAAUGCCAUGCUUUGAAGUUAAUACUGCGAAUUCUGUAGUACAGUUUUCACUUUUUCUUUCCCAAAUGAUAACUGAUAUGAGAAGGAAAGAGUUGCCAAAACACAAUCUGUAAGCCGAUUAAAACAACAGUUCCAAUGAAAAAAAUCUGAAAUGAAAAUGGAAUGGUGAAAGUCAAAGUAAUGCCCAAGCCAAUAAAUAAAAAUGACUUUUAAUUAGUAUUUCUUAUGGUAUACACUGAAUAUUGUACUCUUUAUGAGGUCAGAAAAUCAGUAUCCCUUGCUAAACUCUGAAUUGACUUUAUAUAAGCUAUCCGUUUGAUAAUGAGAACUGGAAUUAUUUGAACUUUCACCCACAUUAAGCCACAGAAAUAAGCACAGUGAGUGGCCUGACAUUCCUUGUGGAGCGGCCUGAUCAUCAGCUAAUAUGUGUGGACACAUUUGGAUAGAUUUUACAUUAUCAGUAAUUUGCGAUUAUGCAGUCAGGUGAAUUACAGUUAAAGGUGUAUGAAAUUCCAUCACUCAAUAGUGGUUUUUGUUCAAUGACAAAAGUCAUAGAACUUGUAAUGACUUAUAGGGAAUCUAUCCAGAAAUGAGCCAUUUGUCAUCCCAAAUGCAAAAUCCAAGCUUCAGCUCAUAUCAGAUGUAAAAUGAUGUAUGAAUAAAUAUUUUAUGAUUAUUACAACACUAAAAACUAGGAGUUGGUAAGUGCUUCAGAGUGUUGGUGACACCUCUAGGCCUGUAUACAUAAGCCUAAAUUAGUAAACUUUAAGCUUAAUGAAUAAACUUUAAGUCUUAAUCAGUAAAUUUUAUACAUUUAUAAAAAGAUGAAAAAUUAUCCAUACCCUUUUAGUGGCAGUAAAAUGUAUGAAAGGAAACAUGGUGAAACAAAGAAUACAGAAAUAGAACACAGAAAACCUAAAUUCUAGUUGUGCUGAAUUGCAAUGUAAUUUUGGAUUUUAAUUAUCUUAGAUAUUUUCUUCGUCUAUUAAAUGGUGAUAACCACCAACAAAACUGUAAGAAUAAAUGUAUAAAAGACUAUGCAAACAUAAAACAUGAUUAUGUUAAUAAAAUUCAGAUACACUAAUUGGAACAUUAGUGUAUCCUAUGAACAUGAUUAUUUAGGUUAACAUUUACUUUGCAUUACAAUUACAUUACUUUACCUAGUUUCAAAAACAUUCUCUCAAAGAAAUAAUUUCCAAUAGUUGAUACAUUUAUAUUCAUAUAUCUCCAAAGACACUGUCUAAAAGGUAUGUUUGUGGAUUAGUUAGUUGUACUUGCCUAUAUUUUCCAUAUGGGACUGUGAUAUUGUUAUAUAAUUUUUGUAUGCUAAUAAGAUAACGAAAGGCUGGGGCUCCUGGGUAACCUCAGACUGAGAGUUGGUUGCCAGGGGAACCAAUCCUGUGAUUAGAGGUUUAGGAAUUUUAACCCAAUUCCUGGACUUUCAGGGUCAGGAGAGAGGCUGAAAGUUGAGUCAAUCACCGAUGGCCAAUGGCCAAUGAUUUAAUCCAUCAUGCUUAUGUAAUGACGCCUCCACAAUAACCCGAAAGAACAGAGGGUGGAGAGAUUUCUGAUUCCUGAACACGUGGAGGGUGGCAUGGUCCAACAGAGUGUGUAAAUUCCCAGCCUCUCCCCACAUAUAUUGCCCAAUACAUUCUUCCUUCUGACUGUUCCUGAGUUGCCUCUUCCAUCUGACUGUUCCUUUUAUAAUAAAAGGAUAAUAGUAAGUAAAGUGCUUUUCUGAGUUCUGUGAACUGCUCUAGCAAAUUAUGAAACAGAGAAGGGCUUUGUGGGAACCCUGAUAUGUAACUAGGUUGGACAGAAGUUGUGAAUAACCAGGAACCUGCUACUUAUGACUGACACCUGGAGUCGGGGUAGUCUUGUGGAAUUUCAUCUAUGCAUUUCAUCUUACAGUACUAUGGGAAUUUGGGAUGGGUGUUUAGUAAAUUGUUCACAAUAAGUAUUUUCAAAUUUUCAAUUAUAAAUAAAAGUUUCUGAUUGAUGAAGCACGA